AUGGGAUUUUUGCUCCUUGUAAUUUUCACUGUAGCAGCUUUGGAAGGUGCCCAGUCCCAGGUGCAGCUGGUGGAGUCCGGAGGGGAUGUGAAAAAGCCCGGAGACUCUCUCCGCCUCUCCUGCAAAGCCUCCGGGUUCACCUUCAGCAGCUACUAUAUGCACUGGCUCCGACAGGCUCCUGGCAAGGGACUGGAAUGGGUCGCUUAUAUAAGCGGCAGUGGGAGUAGUAUACUCUAUCUUGAUUCAGUGAAAGGCCGAUUCACCAUCUCCAGGGAUAAUUCCAAGAGUGAGCUGUAUCUGCAAAUGACCGGCCUGAAGCCCGAGGACACCGCCCGCUAUUACUGUGCGAGAGACACAGUAAUGCCACUGGGAGGCCGGGGAACUAUCACAGGUCACAGAACUCACCUCCCACUGAAUUGGAUAUGGGCCAGGACUUUCCUAAGUCUCUCCUAG